rnacentral:rRNA from 1 species
GUAGCUGGUCUGAGAGGAUGRCCAGCCACACUGGAACUGAGACACGGUCCAGACUCCUACGGGAGGCAGCAGUGGGGAAUAUUGGACAAUGGGGGCAACCCUGAUCCAGCAAUGCCGCGUGUGUGAAGAAGGCCUGAGGGUUGUAAAGCACUUUCAGUGGGGAGGAGGRUUGAUAGGUUAAGAGCUAAUUAAUUGGACGUUACCCACAGAAGAAGCACCGGCUAACUCCGUGCCAGCAGCCGCGGUAAUACGGAGGGUGCGAGCGUUAAUCGGAAUUACUGGGCGUAAAGGGUGCGUAGGUGGUUUAUUAAGUUAUCUGUGAAAUCCCUGGGCUUAACCUGGGCAGGUCAGAUAAUACUGGUGGACUCGAGUAUGG